rnacentral:rRNA from 1 species
AUACGUAGGUGGCGAGCGUUGUCCGGAAUUACUGGGUGUAAAGGGCGCGUAGGCGGGGUGGUAAGUCAGAUGUGAAAUACCAGGGCUUAACUCUGGGGCUGCAUCUGAAACUACGAUUCUUGAGUGCCGGAGAGGGAAGCGGAAUUCCCAGUGUAGCGGUGAAAUGCGUAGAUAUUGGGAGGAACACCGGUGGCGAAGGCGGCUUUCUGGACGGUAACUGACGCUGAGGCGCGAAAGCGUGGGGAGCAAACAGGAUUAGAUACCCUGGUAGUCCACGCUGUAAACGAUGGAUACUAGGUGUAGGAGGUAUCGACUCCUUCUGUGCCGGAGUUAACACAAUAAGUAUCCCACCUGGGGAGUACGGCCGCAAGGUUGAA